GACGAACGCUGGCGGCGUGCCUAAUACAUGCAAGUAGAACGCACAGUUUAUACCAUAGCUUGCUACACCAUAAACUGUGAGUUGCGAACGGGUGAGUAACGCGUAGGUAACCUGCCUGGUAGCGGGGGAUAACUAUUGGAAACGAUAGCUAAUACCGCAUAAUAUUGAUUAUUGCAUGAUAAUUGAUUGAAAGAUGCUAUUGCAUCACUACCAGAUGGACCUGCGUUGUAUUAGCUAGUAGGUGAGGUAACGGCUCACCUAGGCGACGAUACAUAGCCGACCUGAGAGGGUGAUCGGCCACACUGGGACUGAGACACGGCCCAGACUCCUACGGGAGGCAGCAGUAGGGAAUCUUCGGCAAUGGACGAAAGUCUGACCGAGCAACGCCGCGUGAGUGAAGAAGGUUUUCGGAUCGUAAAGCUCUGUUGCAAGAGAAGAACGGGUGUGAGAGUGGAAAGUUCACACUGUGACGGUAUCUUACCAGAAAGGGACGGCUAACUACGUG
rnacentral:rRNA from 1 species